rnacentral:rRNA from 1 species
GAUGAACGCUGGCGGCGUGCUUAAUACAUGCAAGUCGAACGGACAGACCCGGAUCUUGCUCCUCUGUCGUUAGCCGCGACGGGUGAUUAACACGUGGAUAACUUACCUAUAAGACUGGAAUACCUUCGGGAAACCGGACCAAAUACCGUAUAAUAUAUUGAACCUCAUGGUUCAAUAGUGAAAUACGGUUUGUCUGUCACGUAUACGUGGAUCCCCGCCGCAUUAGCUAGUUGGUAAGGUAACGGCUUACCAAGGCGACGAUGCGUAGCCGACCUGAGAGGGUGAUGGGCGACACUGGAAGUGGGACACGGUCCAGACACCUACGGGAGGCAGCAGUAGGGAAUGGUAGGCAGUGGGGGAAAGCCUGACGGAGCGGCGCCGAGUGAGUGGUGGGGGUCUUCGGAUCGUAAUACUGUGUUACUAGGGAAGAACAGAUGUGUACGUAACUAUGGAGGUCUUGACGGUAAUGGAUAAGGAAGCAACGGCUAACUACGUG